GCAGAGCCCAGCCAGCUCCUUGAGGACUUCUUAAUAGGCUGCUGGUCUCACCCUGUGCAGGUUCAGUCCCAGUCAGGCCACAGCAUGGACAUGAGGGUCCACACUCAAUUUCUGGGGCUCUUGCUGCUCUGGGUCCCAGGUGCCAGAUGUGACAUCCAGUUAAUACAGCCUCCAUCCAGAGCUGCAUCUGUGGGAGACACAGUCACCAUCAGUUGCAGGGCCAGUCAGGAUAUUAGCAAUAACUUACACUGGUAUCAGCAGAAACCAAGGCAGGCUCCUAAACCCCUGAUCUAUGCUGCAACCAAUUUGCAAUCUGGAGUCCCAACAAGAGUCAGUGGCAGUGGAUCUGGGACAGAUUUCACUCUCACCAUCAGCAGCCUGCAGCCUGAAGACUUUGCAACUUACUACUGUCAACAGGAUUACAGUGCCCCUCCCACAGUGAUACAAGCCAUGACAUAAACCUCCCAGUGAAGG